GAGGGUGCGAGCGUUAAUCGGAAUUACUGGGCGUAAAGCGCAUGCAGGUGGUUUGUUAAGUCAGAUGUGAAAGCCCGGGGCUCAACCUCGGAAUUGCAUUUGAAACUGGCAGACUAGAGUACUGUAGAGGGGGGUAGAAUUUCAGGUGUAGCGGUGAAAUGCGUAGAGAUCUGAAGGAAUACCGGUGGCGAAGGCGGCCCCCUGGACAGAUACUGACACUCAGAUGCGAAAGCGUGGGGAGCAAACAGGAUUAGAUACCCUGGUAGUCCACGCCGUAAACGAUGUCUACUUGGAGGUUGUGGCCUUGAGCCGUGGCUUUCGGAGCUAACGCGUUAAGUAGACCGCCUGGGGAGUACGGUCGCAAGAUUAAAACUCAAAUGAAUUGACGGGGGCCCGCACAAGCGGUGGAGCAUGUGGUUUAAUUCGAUGCAACGCGAAGAACCUUACCUACUCUUGACAUCCAGAGAACUUUCCAGAGAUGGAUUGGUGCCUUCGGGAACUCUGAGACAGGUGCUGCAUGGCUGUCGUCAGCUCGUGUUGUGAAAUGUUGGGUUAAGUCCCGCAACGAGCGCAACCCUUAUCCUUGUUUGCCAGCGAGUAAUGUCGGGAACUCCAGGGAGACUGCCGGUGAUAAACCGGAGGAAGGUGGGGACGACGUCAAGUCAUCAUGGCCCUUACGAGUAGGGCUACACACGUGCUACAAUGGCGCAUACAGAGGGCGGCCAACUUGCGAAAGUGAGCGAAUCCCAAAAAGUGCGUCGUAGUCCGGAUUGGAGUCUGCAACUCGACUCCAUGAAGUCGGAAUCGCUAGUAAUCGUGGAUCAGAAUGCCACGGUGAAUACGUUCCCGGGCCUUGUACACACCGCCCGUCACACCAUGGGAGUGGGCUGCAAAAGAAGUAGGUAGUUUAACCUUCGGGGGGACGCUUACCACUUUGUGGUUCAUGACUGGGGUGAAGUCGUAACAAGGUAGCGCUAGGGGAACCUGGCGCUGGAUCACCUCCUUAAACGAUGAU
rnacentral:rRNA from 1 species